rnacentral:rRNA from 1 species
CAGCACCUCAAGUGGUCAGGAUGAUUAUUGGGCCUAAAGCAUCCGUAGCCGGCGCUGUAAGUUUUCGGUUAAAUCUGUACGCUCAACGUACAGGCUGCCGGGAAUACUGCAGCGCUAGGGAGUGGGAGAGGUAGACGGUACUCGGUAGGAAGGGGUAAAAUCCUUUGAUCUAUUGAUGACCACCUGUGGCGAAGGCGGUCUACCAGAACACGUCCGACGGUGAGGGAUGAAAGCUGGGGGAGCAGACCGGAUUAGAGACCCGAGUAGUCC